rnacentral:rRNA from 1 species
UACGUAGGGUGCAAGCGUUAAUCGGAAUUACUGGGCGUAAAGCGUACGCAGGCGGCUUUGCAAGACAGGUGUGAAAUCCCCGGGCCUAACCUGGGAACUGCAUUUGUGACUGCAUGGCUAGAGUCUGUCAGAGGGGGGUGGAAUUCCACGUGUAGCAGUGAAAUGCGUAGAGAUGUGGAAGAACACCGAUGGCGAAGGCAGCCCCCUGGGAUGAGACUGACGCUCAUGUACGAAAGCGUGGGGAGCAAACAGGAUUAGAUACCCUGGUAGUCCACGCCCUAAACGAUGUCUACUAGUUGUCGGAGGGUAACUCCUUCGGUAACGCAGCUAACGCGUGAAGUAGACCGCCUGGGGAGUACGGUCGCAAGAUUA